UUGCACGCUAGCGGGAUGCUUUACACAUGCCAGUCGCACGGCAGCGCGGACUUCGGUCUGGCGGCGAGUGGCGAACGGGUGAGUAAUGUAUCGGAACGUGCCCAGUAGCGGGGGAUAACUACGCGAAAGCGUAGCUAAUACCGCAUACGCCCUACGGGGGAAAGCAGGGGAUCGUAAGACCUUGCACUAUUGGAGCGGCCGAUAUCGGAUUAGCUAGUUGGUGAGGUAACGGCCCACCAAGGCGACGAUCCGUAGCUGGUUUGAGAGGACGACCAGCCACACUGGGACUGAGACACGGCCCAGACUCCUACGGGAGGCAGCAGUGGGGAAUUUUGGACAAUGGGGGCAACCCUGAUCCAGCCAUCCCGCGUGUGCGAUGAAGGCCUUCGGGUUGUAAAGCACUUUUGGCAGGAAAGAAACGUCGCGGGCUAAUACCCCGUGGAACUGACGGUACCUGCAGAAUAAGCACCGGCUAACUACGUG
rnacentral:rRNA from 1 species